GCACCUGUAGCUCAGCUGGAUAGAGUGUCGGCCUCCGAAGCCGACGGUCAUUUUGAAACUGGGUCACUGGGCA
rnacentral:tRNA from 1 species